GGCGGACGGGUGAGUAACGCGUGGGAACGUGCCUUCUGGUCUGGAAUAACCCUGGGAAACUAGGGCUAAUACCGGAUACGCCCUUUUGGGGAAAGGUUUACUGCCGGAAGAUCGGCCCGCGUCUGAUUAGCUAGUUGGUGGGGUAACGGCCUACCAAGGCGACGAUCAGUAGCUGGUCUGAGAGGAUGAUCAGCCACACUGGGACUGAGACACGGCCCAGACUCCUACGGGAGGCAGCAGUGGGGAAUAUUGGACAAUGGGCGCAAGCCUGAUCCAGCCAUGCCGCGUGAGUGAUGAAGGCCUUAGGGUUGUAAAGCUCUUUUAUCCGGGACGAUAAUGACGGUACCGGAGGAAUAAGCCCCGGCUAACUUCGUGCCAGCAGCCGCGGUAAU
rnacentral:rRNA from 1 species